UUUAAAUGAUUUUUAAAAGGUUUUUAAAAGGUUUACAAAGGUUUAUAAGGCUAAAUCCAAAUGAAUUUUUAUAAGAUUUUUUUCCGAUUAGACCGGUAUGGUAUCAUAAAAGCAAAGUUCAGAUUAUAUAAAAAUUUGUCCCUUGGCUCAGCACAACUAGAGCUAGCUAGCUAGUGAUCAUUAUAAAUAUUUAUUGUUUCUCUUUUUUUGGUUUUUGCUAAUACUUAUGAUAAAUAUAAUACCAUUACGUACAAAAACUUAAAACUCAAAUUGUAAAACGGAUUAAUAUCAUUAAACACGAGGAUACAUCAUACAUGUUAACUUAAAUUAAAAACAAAAAUAAAAGCAAAGAUACAUAUGCAUAAUGCAUAGAUAGAUAGACAUGUCUUAACUAAGAUUAAGAUUCAUAAACAUUAAGCACACAUAUGCAUAAUGCAUGGAUAGAUAGAUAUGUCUUAACUAAUGCAUGGAUAGAUAAAUAUGUCUUAACUAAGGUUAAGAUUGAUUAACAUUAUGCAUACAUAGAGAUAAACCUUAUUUUUUCUCUUUCCCUUUCCUGUCGGUGUCUUUUGGAGGAGAUGACAAACUUGCGUUUUCGUCGCUGCGUUCAGGACGUUGGUGAUCGCAAACUAACAC
rnacentral:lncRNA from 1 species